CUGGGUGACGAGCGGCGGACGGGUGAGUAAUGUCUGGGAAACUGCCUGAUGGAGGGGGAUAACUACUGGAAACGGUAGCUAAUACCGCAUAACGUCGCAAGACCAAAGAGGGGGACCUUCGGGCCUCUUGCCAUCAGAUGUGCCCAGAUGGGAUUAGCUAGUAGGUGGGGUAAUGGCUCACCUAGGCGACGAUCCCUAGCUGGUCUGAGAGGAUGACCAGCCACACUGGAACUGAGACACGGUCCAGACUCCUACGGGAGGCAGCAGUGGGGAAUAUUGCACAAUGGGCGCAAGCCUGAUGCAGCCAUGCCGCGUGUGUGAAGAAGGCCUUCGGGUUGUAAAGCACUUUCAGCGAGGAGGAAGGUGGUGA
rnacentral:rRNA from 1 species